rnacentral:lncRNA from 1 species
AGGUGGUUGCUUGUUGGAGCAUGUUCGAGCUUCUGCUCAGGUUUGCUCAGUUUGGUUGUUUUAUGUGAAUCCAGAACGAGUUGGAUAGUUGAGGGGUAGUGUAGGUAUUGUAGUUUGUUUGUAGUGUAGUUUUGGUAGUAGUUGGUGUUUGUAUGAUGUUUGGGUCCGGUUUCCCUUACAAAUUGGAUCAACUCUCUUCUUCUUAUUAAUAUAUGCCGAACACUAAGGUUUUUCGAAUCUUUAAAAAAAAUGAGGGAGCUUAGGUGCACGAUCCCCGCCCAAAUCUAUCGAGAUCAACUGCGUGGGCCCUAGCCUGGGUGUUCUCUAUUCUUUUUAUCUUUUUUCCCUAAGAAAUUUGAAUUAUGCAGAAAUUUAUUAGGUUUUGUAUGUGCAGACUCAUCUUGAUUAUUUUUUCUUUGUCAAAAUGAAUACAUGUCGAGACAUGCAACGAAUAAUUGUAUUCAGAAAUGCAAAUUUUCAUUCGUAUUUCCAGAAAAAUUAUUGAUGUUUGGAUUAAUUGCGGAUAGAUUACUUUUUCAGAUGAUUAAGAUGCAUAAUGGGGAUGGUCGUGUGCAAGCUAUUGUUUAAUUUUGAUUCCAACAUGACCCGAUGCUUGAGAUUGGAAGCAACCAUGGCUGCCGAUAGCAUUGAUUUCUGCAUAGAUUUAUUGAUUGCGGGAGGAAGCGAGUGAUUUCGAUUCAUUCGGUGAAGGAUUGAGUGAUGUGGUUAUCAAAUUGUUAGUCAAAGGAAAGAAGUACGAUUUAUAUGGUGAAUAGCACGUAGAUCUUUUCCAUUUUGUUAUUAACUAAUUGCUAGGUUUUUAUGCAGACCUUGUUGAGAGCUCCAUCAUCAUGACCCACCACACUUCUCAACACGUUCAGCAUAAAGAUUUUCCUUGAUGCAGAUGCAACCAUACAGUGGUAAAAUACAGUGGUAUGAUUUGAGACAAAUUACAU